AGGAUUCCCCUAGUAACUGCGAGUGAAGCGGGAAAAGCUCAAAUUUAAAAUCUGGCGGUCUUUGGCCGUCCGAGUUGUAAUCUAGAGAAGUAAUGCCCGUGCUGGACCGUGUAUAAGUCUCCUGGGAUGGGGCGUCAUAGAGGGUGAGAAUCCCGUCUUUGACACGGACUACCAGUGCAUUGUGGUAUGCUCUCAAAGAGUCGAGUUGUUUGGGAAUGCAGCUCAAAAUGGGUGGUAAAUUCCAUCUAAAGCUAAAUAUUGGCGAGAGACCGAUAGCGAACAAGUACCGUGAGGGAAAGAUGAAAAGAACUUUGGAAAGAGAGUUAAACAGUACGUGAAAUUGCUGAAAGGGAAACGCUUGAAGUCAGUCGCGUUGGCYGGGAAUCAGCCCUGCUUUUGCAUGGUGUACUUUCUGGUYGACGGGUCAGCAUCAAUUUUGAUCACUGGAAAAGGCUCAAGGGAAUGUGGCAGCUUCGGCUGUGUUAUAGCCCCUGUUCACAUACAGUGGUUGGGAUUGAGGAACUCAGCACGCCGCAAGGCCGGGUUUCGACCACGUUCGUGCUUAGGAUGCUGGCAUAAUGGCUUUAAGCGACCCGUCUUGAAACACGGACCAAGGAGUCUAACAUGCCUGCGAGUAUUUGGGUGGAAAACCCAGGUGCGCAAUGAAAGUGAAAGUUGAGAUCCCUGUCGUGGGGAGCAUCGACGCCCGGACCAGAACUUUUGRGACGGAUCCGCGGUGGAGCAUGUAUGUUGGGACCCGAAAGAUGGUGAACUAUGCCUGAAUAGGGUGAAGCCAGAGGAAACUCUGGUGGAGGCUCGUAGCGAUUCUGACGUGCAAAUCGAUCGUCAAAUUUGGGUAUAGG
rnacentral:rRNA from 1 species